rnacentral:rRNA from 1 species
CUACGGGUUGCAGCAGUAAGGAAUAUUGGUCAAUGGACGAAAGUCUGAACCAGUCAUGCCGCGUGGAGGAUGAAGGUCCUCUGGAUUGUAAACUUCUUUUAUCUGGGAAGAAAUCCAUGGUUUCUACUAUGGUUGACGGUACCAGAUGAAUAAGCACCGGCUAACUCCGUGCCAGCAGCCGCGGUAAUACGGAGGGUGCAAGCGUUAUCCGGAUUCACUGGGUUUAAAGGGUGCGUAGGUGGGCAGGUAAGUCAGUGGUGAAAUCUCCGAGCUUAACUCGGAAACUGCCAUUGAUACUAUCUGUCUUGAAUACCCUGGAUGUGAGCGGAAUAUGUCAUGUAGCGGUGAAAUGCUUAGAUAUGACAUAGAACACCAAUUGCGAAGGCAGCUCACUACGGGAAUAUUGACACUGAGGCACGAAAGCGUGGAGAUCAAACAGGAUUAGAUACCCUAGUAGUC